GGUGAUGGCGUGAGCGGUUGC
rnacentral:siRNA from 1 species